rnacentral:rRNA from 1 species
AGCUCCAAUAGCGUAUAUUAAAGUUGUUGCAGUUAAAAAGCUCGUAGUUGGAUUUCAAGAAACGCAUCUGGGCAACCAGUUUGCUUUCUACCAGUCUUUGACUGUUACUGUGAGAAAAUUAGAGUGUUUCAAGCAGGCAAUUGCAGGAAUACAUUAGCAUGGAAUAACGAAUGUAUCUACAAUUUGGUUGAUUGUAGAAUACGAUUAAUAGGGACAGUUGGGGGCAUUAGUAUUUAAUUGUCAGAGGUGAAAUUCUUGGAUUUGUUAAAGACUAACGUAUGCGAAAGCAUUUGCCAAGGAUGUUUUCA